rnacentral:misc_RNA from 1 species
GAUGAAGAACGUAGCUAAAUGCGAUACUUGGUGUGAAUUGCAGAAUCCCGUGAACCAUCGAGUCUUUGAACGCAAGUUGCGCCCGAAGCCAUUAGGCCGAGGGCACGCCUGCCUGGGCGUCACACGUCGUUGCCCCCCCAUCUACUCCUUCGGGAUUGCGGGGGGCGGAUGAUGGCCUCCCGUGCGCCUCGUCGCGCGGUUGGCAUAAAUGCCAAGUCCUCGGCGACGCACGCCACGACAAUCGGUGGUUGCGAAACCUCGGUUGCCCGUCGUGUGCGGUCGUCGCGCAUCGAGGGCUCGAAAAAAUUGUCGGGCUCCGGCUCGGCUUUCAACGCGACCCCAGGUCAGGCGGGGUUACCCGCUGAAUUUAAGCAUAUCAAUAAGCGGAGGA